rnacentral:tRNA from 1 species
UCCUUUGUGGCUCAGCUGGUAAAGAAUCUGCCUGCAAUGCAAGAGACCUAGGUUUGAUUUCAAGCAAAGGAA